rnacentral:rRNA from 1 species
UGCUCGAGUGGCGAACGGGUGAGUAACACGUGAGUAACCUGCCCUUGACUUUGGGAUAAAUUCAGGAAACUGGGGCUAAUACCGGAUAGGAGCUCCUGCUGCAUGGUGGGGGUUGGAAAGUUUCGGCGGUUGGGGAUGGACUCGCGGCUUAUCAGCUUGUUGGUGGGGUAGUGGCUUACCAAGGCUUUGACGGGUAGCCGGCCUGAGAGGGUGACCGGCCACAUUGGGACUGAGAUACGGCCCAG